CUCCUCCUUCAGUCUUUUUAUGGCAACCAUGGGAAUUGAGAGUUGUCAGAUGUGUGGUGAACAGAACCAAGGGAAGACUGAUGAUUCACUGAACAUCUUACAUCUCAAAUGGAGGAUGGAUAUAUGAAUUUCAGCCCUAUGGGUGGUUGUUCCUGUGAUUUCUCAACUGAGACAGAAUUGGACAAGCUACUGUCCUGUACUGUCAACCCAGGACCUUGUCCAGAGAAGUCUGUGACACCAGAGUGGAGGCCUGGUGGAAGUCUGGCCAAAGCCUCCACGUGUGGCAGCAGCUUCUGUAGUUUCUCAGCCCAGAGACUAUAUGACAAGUGCUCAGGAGGAGAUUACAGAGGAUCCUUUGCUGGCACAGGGGCCCUCCUUCAUCUGUCAGCCAGUGAAAUUCAUGCUGCUCUAGGAACAGGAUCCUACCUAGGAGGGAACUGAAGACUACCGGAGACCCAACUGGUCAAGAAGUUCUCUUUUGGCUCUGUGGAUGGUGCAGUUCUCCCCUCCCCAAUCCAUUGCCCAAUGGGUAGAGAAAUUCAAGUUUAUUGAAAACUACCAAGAAAAAGAAGAAAUCGUUCAUUCUCCUGGAGGCCAUUUGCAGAAGGUAAGGACUGUGGAAGAGGCAUGGAGGAAGAAAGAAUUUCAAGCAUGCAAGAAACAAAGCUGGGCUCCUGAUCUGUCAAUCAAGGUGAAGAUUCCAAAACAGAAUGUUCCCAGGAAAGGCAGUUGGGAGCCUGGCCAGAGGAGAUGAACUGAAAAACUUCUCUGGGGUUACUGACCAAGGGAGAGACUUCUUCUUUGGGGUUACUGACUAAAGGAAAAACUUCUCUGGGGUUACUGACCAAGGGAGAAACUUUUUCUCUGGGGUUCCUGACCAAGGGAGACUGAUUUCAUCUGUCCUAGGUUGAAGGACCUUUGGGGGAGGGGGGCUUCUGGAAUUAACCUGAGAAGAAAUUAAACUUUGUUGGUGGCUUUGUAUAAUUGGAAGAAGAAAUAAGAUUUAACAGUUGUUCUUCAUCUCUCUGACUGUCUCUGAGUCAACAGUUGUGACUGGACUGACAUUUCCCAAACCCUCCUAAUUCUCCUUAUAGAUUAAGGUCACCCCUAUCCCUUUCACCUCAAUUCCCAUCCUGUUUGUUCCCAAUAAACCCCUUUACUUGAGAAAGGAAAAGGAAGGA
rnacentral:lncRNA from 1 species